UGAUUAUUACCGCCAUUCCAGCAACGGCGGGCUAGCUUGCGUCCAGACCCCACCCGCCUCCGAGGCGGGU
rnacentral:sRNA from 1 species